UACGUAGGUGACGAGCGUUGUCCGGAUUUACUGGGCGUAAAGGGCGCGUAGGCGGGCGGUCAAGUCAGGGGUGAAAUCUUUCGGCUCAACCGGAAAGUGCCUUUGAUACUGGCCGUCUCGAGGGAGGUAGGGGCAUGCGGAACUUCCGGUGGAGCGGUGAAAUGCGUAGAUAUCGGAAGGAACGCCGGUGGCGAAAGCGGCGUGCUGGACCUCUUCUGACGCUGAGGCGCGAAAGCCAGGGGAGCAAAGCGGGG
rnacentral:rRNA from 1 species